UACGAAGGGUGCAAGCGUUACUCGGAAUUACUGGGCGUAAAGCGUGCGCAGGUGGUUUGUUAAGUCUGCUGUGAAAGCCCCGGGCUCAACCUGGGAAUGGCAGUGGAGACUGGCAAGCUAGAGUGCGGUAGAGGAUAGUGGAAUUCCCGGUGUAGCGGUGAAAUGCGCAGAUAUCGGGAGGAACACCAAUGGCGAAGGCAGCUCGCUGGGACGGUACUGACGCUGAGACGCGAAAGCGUGGGGAGCAAACAGG
rnacentral:rRNA from 1 species